rnacentral:rRNA from 1 species
AUGUACCUAGGGCCCGGCCGAGAUCAUUUCGCCUGCGCCCAUGAGCUACAGCUCGGGUACUUCCUUGUCUUCCGCUACGACAGCGACACCAUGUUCACCGUGAAGAUGUUCGACAACACCAUGUGCCGCAUGUACUACCAGCACGACGACGAUGCCAGCAAUGGGAGCAGCAGCGGGGAUGGCGAGGAGCAGAGCAGGGAUAACGAGGAGCAAAGCGGGGAUAACGAGGAGCAAAGCGGGGAUGACGAGGAGCAGCCUAUUCUGGCUGACGACGACCUUGCCAUGAUGGCGGCUGACGACGACCCUGCUAUGGUGGUGGCGGAUGACGACCCUGCAAUUGUGUUGGCGGAUGACGACCCUGCUAUGGUGGUGGCGGAUGACGACCCUGCUAUGGUGGUGGCGGCCAACGACCUUGCUAUGGUGGCUGACGACGACCUCGUGAUUGUGGUGCCCAAUGAUGAACUCGCAAUGGUGGUGCCUGACAAUGACCUCGUGAUGGUGGUGGCGCCUGCAAUCCCACAGCUUGGCGACAGGACCAUGCCAAUUGUGGUAGAGGAGUACAUCUGCGUUGGGAUUCGCCACUCUGAGCGCAUCAGGUUGAUGAAGGAGAAGAAGGAGGAGUGA